GUAUUUGAGGCUUGUUUCAGGCUUCUUGUUUCUCAGAGUCAUGAGCUGUACGGAAAACACUGUUCCACUUUGUUUGGAUUUAAAAUAUGGGUCACUUCUUUUUAAUGCUGUUAUUGACUUUACUUGACUCAGCAUUUUGUUUUACAGAGAUUACCAUAAAAGUGUUUGAGGGAGCAGAUGCAGACCUGCCCUGCAACUGUGCUGAGGGCAAGAAUGUGGCCACUUUGCAAUGGCGUUAUCUUAACCAGAGUGACAACCUGCUGAUCUAUAGAGGAAAAAAAAUAUUGGAAAAAAAACCCCCGAAUCCAACACAAAUAUCUCCCUCCGAAGAAUGUAACUCUAAAAAAUGUGAGAUCUGAGGACUGUGGGAUUUAUGAAUGUUGGGUUAAGUAUACAGACGACCAGGAGUACAAACAGACCAUCCAUCUAACCCUCAAACCAAAGAGUGAGCCAACUCCCCCUUCAGAUACAUCGAACAUUGUGGAGGACAUAGUCCUCACAGUGAGAAAACACCGAGGACUUUUUUGUGGACUGGGGUUUCUACUGUUCUUUAUUCCUCUAAUUUUACUUCUUUCCAAAAAAGGACAGUUGUUCAAGAGUGACUCCUUCUGUUCUAAACAAUCAAAUAAAUACUGUCCCCCUUCAGAAUCUUCAAACUCAAAUUCUAAAUCUGAACAUUCUACACUGUCAUCCACAAAGGUUCUUCUUGACCCCCUCCAAGAGCUGCCACCUUACCGCGGUGGAGGGGUUUGUGUGUUUGAGGCUUUGGAAAAUGUUUUAGUUUUCCAAAGCCUCGAGCCAGACCAGGAGCAGCUCAAAUUUGGAGGAUCGAGACACUGAAAAUGGGUGGCAGUCAACUCUCCAUGGAGAUGUUAUUGUUAAGCCUGAAAUGUUCCAUGGUAUGACAUUAAAUACAAUCUAUCUAGCAUUUAUUCAUAACAGGUGUUUCUAUUUCUCCAAAACACAAUAAUCCCUUUUGUGAAUAGGGGCGACUCUCCACAAAUCUGAAUUGUAAAAGUUUAAUCUAUAUGAUGUUUUAGAAACUCCAUUGUACAAAUUUGUUUGUGACUUCAAAUUUAUUUGAUCUACCUAAAUAAUUUAAUCUAAAAAAAAAAAAAAAAAACUACUCUCCUUUUUGUCUGAAAUGUUACUGCGGCUUUAAAUACUGUUGCAUUUGUUAUAUUUCAAAUAUAAAAUAAAGAUAAAAAAUUUUUAUUA